rnacentral:rRNA from 1 species
AGUGAACGCUGGCGGUAGGCCUAACACAUGCAAGUCGAACGGCAGCACAGUAAGAGCUUGCUCUUACGGGUGGCGAGUGGCGGACGGGUGAGGAAUACAUCGGAAUCUACUUUUUCGUGGGGGAUAACGUAGGGAAACUUACGCUAAUACCGCAUACGACCUACGGGUGAAAGCAGGGGAUCUUCGGACCUUGCGCGAUUGAAUGAGCCGAUGCCGGAUUAGCUAGUUGGCGGGGUAAAGGCCCACCAAGGCGACGAUCCGUAGCUGGUCUGAGAGGAUGAUCAGCCACACUGGAACUGAGACACGGUCCAGACUCCUACGGGAGGCAGCAGUGGGGAAUAUUGGACAAUGGGCGCAAGCCUGAUCCAGCCAUACCGCGUGGGUGAAGAAGGCCUUCGGGUUGUAAAGCCCUUUUGUUGGGAAAGAAAAGCAGCAGGUUAAUACCCCGCUGUUCCGACGGUACCCAAAGAAUAAGCACCGGCUAACUUCGUGC